GACGAACGCUGGCGGCGUGCCUAAUACAUGCAAGUAGAACGCUGAAGAGAGGAGCUUGCUCUUCUUGGAUGAGUUGCGAACGGGUGAGUAACGCGUAGGUAACCUGCCUUGUAGCGGGGGAUAACUAUUGGAAACGAUAGCUAAUACCGCAUAACAAUGGAUGACACAUGUCAUUUAUUUGAAAGGGGCAAUUGCUCCACUACAAGAUGGACCUGCGUUGUAUUAGCUAGUAGGUGAGGUAAUGGCUCACCUAGGCGACGAUACAUAGCCGACCUGGGAGGGUGAUCGGCCACACUGGGACUGAGACACGGCCCAGACUCCUACGGGAGGCAGCAGUAGGGAAUCUUCGGCAAUGGGGCAAACCCUGACCGAGCAACGCCGCGUGAAGUGAAGAAGGUUUCGAGUCCGUAAAGCUCUGUUGUAAGUCAAGAACGGGUGUGAGAGUGGAAAGUUCACACUGUGACGGUAAGCUUACCAGAAAGGGACGGCUAACUACGUGCCA
rnacentral:rRNA from 1 species